rnacentral:rRNA from 1 species
UACGAAGGGGGCUAGCGUUGCUCGGAAUCACUGGGCGUAAAGGGUGCGUAGGCGGGUCUUUAAGUCAGGGGUGAAAUCCUGGAGCUCAACUCCAGAACUGCCUUUGAUACUGAGGGUCUUGAGUAUGACAGAGGUGAGUGGAACUGCGAGUGUAGAGGUGAAAUUCGUAGAUAUUCGCAAGAACACCAGUGGCGAAGGCGGCUCACUGGGUCAAUACUGACGCUGAGGCACGAAAGCGUGGGGAGCAAACAGGG